AAAAUCCGUAACUUCUGUGAACCACCCAUUCAGCAGUUCCACCCAGGCACUGGAUGGAUGAGCCCUGGCACAGGGAGUAUUGGAUGGCGUCAGGCAGCGAGGGAAGCUCUGGCAGUGCAACUCUUGCACAAAGGUCAAGAUACCAUUAACCAAAGAAAAGCCCUGCUGCUGAACUGCCUCAGACCACAUGGCCUCUUAAAAGACAGUCCACUUGCUCAUCUUUCCUUUGAAUAAAUGAAGUUAUGGACUUAUACAAAGGUUUCAGAGUCACGGACAAUGCUGAGCAGCUGUGUGUGUAACAGUUGCAGAUCAAAGGUACAAUUAGUCUAAUGUGGGCACCAAAACAGAGAAAAAGGAUGAUCAGGAAAAUGAAAGAGGAGAAUGCAAGCAAGCAUUCGGUGACAGAAGAAAAUCAUCAGCCCUGGCUGGUACCACCAGACAAGAAGAGGCCAAUGCCAUUUGGAAAAUAAUGACAUGGCCUCAGGAGAGAUCGAGCCUGGAAGAAAGCUCCUUCUCCUGGAUUCUUCUCACAGGGGCAGCACUCCCAACAGGCCAG